GAUGAACGCUGGCGGCGUGCCUAAUACAUGCAAGUCGAGCGAACAGACGAGGAGCUUGCUCCUCUGACGUUAGCGGCGGACGGGUGAGUAACACGUGGAUAACCUACCUAUAAGACUGGGAUAACUUCGGGAAACCGGAGCUAAUACCGGAUAAUAUAUUGAACCGCAUGGUUCAAUAGUGAAAGACGGUUUUGCUGUCACUUAUAGAUGGAUCCGCGCCGCAUUAGCUAGUUGGUAAGGUAACGGCUUACCAAGGCAACGAUGCGUAGCCGACCUGAGAGGGUGAUCGGCCACACUGGAACUGAGACACGGUCCAGCCUCCUACGGGAGGCAGCAGUAGGGAAUAUUCCGCAAUGGGCGAAAGCCUGACGGAGCAACGCCGCGUGAGUGAUGAAGGUCUUCGGAUCGUAAAACUCUGUUAUUAGGGAAGAACAAAUGUGUAAGUAACUAUGCACGUCUUGACGGUACCUAAUCAGAAAGCCACGGCUAACUACGUG
rnacentral:rRNA from 1 species